rnacentral:rRNA from 1 species
AACGCGAAGAACCUUACCAAGGCUUGACAUAUAGAGGAAAAGUGCAGAAAUGCACUCCCCGCAAGGUCUCUAUACAGGUGGUGCAUGGUUGUCGUCAGCUCGUGUCGUGAGAUAUUGGGUUAAGUCCCGCAACGAGCGCAACCCUCGUCCUAUGUUGCCAGCACGUUAUGGUGGGAACUCAUGGGAUACUGCCGGGGUCAACUCGGAGGAAGGUGGGGAUGACGUCAAAUCAUCAUGCCCCUUAUGUCUUGGGCUUCACGCAUGCUACAAUGGCCGGUACAGAGGGCUGCAAUACCGUAAGGUGGAGCGAAUCCCAAAAAGCCGGUCUCAGUUCGGAUUGAGGUCUGCAACUCGACCUCAUGAAGUCGGAGUCGCUAGUAAUCGCGUAACAGCAUGACGCGGUGAAUACGUUCCCGGGUCUUGUACACACCGA